GAUGAACGCUAGCGGGAGGCUUAACACAUGCAAGUCGAAGGACAGCAUUAUCGCUUGCGAUAGAUGGCGACUGGCGAACGGGUGCGUAACGCGUAUGCAACCUGCCCUCAACUGGAGAAUAGCCCAGAGAAAUUUGGAUUAAUACUCCAUAGUAUUACAGAUUCGCAUGUUUCUGUAAUUAAAGUUCCAACGGUUGAGGAUGGGCAUGCGUGACAUUAGUUUGUUGGUGAGGUAACGGCUCACCAAGACUACGAUGUCUAGGGGUUCUGAGAGGAUGAUCCCCCACACUGGUACUGAGACACGGACCAGACUCCUACGGGAGGCAGCAGUGAGGAAUAUUGGACAAUGGAGGCAACUCUGAUCCAGCCAUCCCGCGUGCAGGAAGACGGCCCUAUGGGUUGUAAACUGCUUUUAUACAGGAAUAAACCCCUCUACGUGUAGAGGGCUGAAGGUACUGUAAGAAUAAGCACCGGCUAACUCCGUGCCAGCAGCCGCGGUAAUACGGAGGGUGCAAGCGUUAUCCGGAUUUAUUGGGUUUAAAGGGUCCGCAGGCGGAUCUGUAAGUCAGUGGUGAAAGCCUUCAGCUUAACUGGAGAAUUGCCAUUGAUACUGC
rnacentral:rRNA from 1 species